rnacentral:rRNA from 1 species
GAUGAACGCUGGCGGCGUGCCUUAAGCAUGCAAGUCAUGGGGACCGCAAGGUAACCGGCGGACGGGUGAGUAAUGCGUGGGUAUCUUCCUCGAAGUGGGGUAUAGCUCGUCGAAAGACGGGGUAAUCCCCCAUAUGAUCGCAAGAUCAAAGCCGCAAGGCGCUUUGAGAUGAGCCUGCGUCCUAUCAGCUUGUUGGUGGGGUAAUUGCCUACCAAGGCGACGACGGGUAGCUGGUCUGAGAGGAUGGUCAGCCACAAUGGGACUGAGACACGGCCCAUACAUCUACGGAUGGCAGCAACUGGGAAUAUUGGACAAUGGACGAAAGUCUGAUCCAGCGACGCCGCGUGGGGGAUUGAAGGCCUUCGGGUUGUAAACCCCUUUUGUAAGGGAAGAUUAUGACGGUACCUUACGAAUAAGCACCUGCUAACUACGUGCCAGAAGCCUCGGUAAUACGUAGGGUGCAAGCGUUAUCCGGAUUCAUUGGGCGUAAAGUGUUGCGUAGGCGGUCCGAUGCAUUUUGCUUUAAAGCCCAUGGCUCAACCAUGGUUUAUGGCAAAAUAUGAUCGGACUCGAUUGUUGGAGAGGGUGAUGGAACUGAUCAUGUAGCAGUGAAAUGCGUUGAUAUGAUCAGGAACACCGAAGGCGUAGGCAGUCACCUGGCCAACUAAUGACGCUCAUGCACGACAGCUUGGGUAGCGAAGCAGAUUAGAGACCUGCGUAGUCCAAGCCGUAAACGAUCCUUGCUAGAUACCCGAUCUUUUUUGGGUGUCGUAAGCUAACGCGUUAAGCAAGGCGCCUGGGGAGUACGAGCGCAAGCUUA